rnacentral:tRNA from 1 species
GGCUCCGUAGUUCAAUGGAUAGAAUAUUGGAUUCCGGUUCCAACGAUUGGGGUUCGACUCCCCACGGAGUCA